UACGUAGGGUGCAAGCGUUGUCCGGAAUUAUUGGGCGUAAAGAGCUCGUAGGCGGUUUGUUGCGUCGGCUGUGAAAUCCCCGAGGCUCAACCUCGGGUCUGCAGUCGAUACGAGCAAACUAGAGUGUUGCAGGGGGAGACUGGAAUUCCUGGUGUAGCGGUGAAAUGCGCAGAUAUCAGGAAGAACACCCGUGGCGAAGGCGGUUCUCUGGGACGGUACUGACGCUGAGACGCGAAAGCCAGGGGAGCGAACGGG
rnacentral:rRNA from 1 species